UGGUCAAGCUACAAAGGGUGUGCGGUGGAUGCUCUGGCGCCAGGAGGCGAAGAAGGACGUGGGGUAACUGCGAUAAGCCCGGGCUAGGUGUUACCAACCGUUGAACCCGGGAUCUCCGAAUGGGGCAACCCGGCCGGGGUCAUGCCCGGCCAGCCGUAGCUGAAUGCAUAGGCUGCGGCAGCCGACGCGGGGAACUGACACAUCUAAGUACCCGCAGGAAAGGAAAGAAACCUCGACUACGUGAGUAGCGGCGAGCGAAAGCGUACCAGCCCAAACCUGCGACGUGCAAGGCCGCAGCCGUUGCGUCGUGGGUGUUGUAGGGCCCGCGUGGGAGUCUGCGGAGCUCCCAGAGAGUUACAAAGAGUGCAGAUAGCCGAACCAUGCUGGAAAGAAGGCCACAGAGGGUGACAGCCCCGUAGGCGAAAUCUGUACUCCUCUCCGCGGUGUCCCUGAGUAGCGCGAUGCCCGUGGAACGUCGCGUGAAGCUGGGGGGCCCACCCCCCAAGGCUAAGUACUCCCUGGCGACCGAUAGCGUAAAAGUAGGGCGACUGAAAAGUGAAAAGCACCCCUGUGAGGGGAGUGAAAGAGUACCUGAAACCGCAUACCUACAAGCGGAGAGAGGGCUAUGAGUGGCUUCGGCCACCACGCCUGAUCUCGUGCCUUUUGCUUAAUGAGUCCGGGAGUUGUCGUCGUCGGCGAGGUUAAGCCCCUCAGGGGCGGAGCCGAAGGGAAACCGAGUGCGAAAUGCGCGUCGAGUCGGCGGGGACAGACCCGAAAGCGGGUGAUCUAUCCAUGGGCAGGUUGAACAGGAUGUAACAAUCCUGGGAGGACCGAACGGGUACGUGUUGAAAAACGUUCCGAUGACCUGUGGAUAGGAGUAAAAGUCUUAUCAAACUCGCAGAUAUCUGGUUCUCCCCGAAAUCGCUUUCGGGCGAGCCUUGCGUGAUAGCAGCCGGGGGUAGAGAGACUGAUUCGGACUGCGGGGGCCAAAAGCCUACCCUUCCGAGCCAAACUCCGAAUACCGGUUGCCGUAUCGCGGGCAGUCAGACUCUGGGGGAUAAGCUCCUGGGUCAAGAGGGAAACAGCCCAGACCGCCGGCUAAGGCCCCAAAAUCAUGCUAAGUGCGAAAGGAAGUGGGAGUGCCAAGACAGCCAGGAUGUUGGCUUAGAAGCAGCCACCAUUUAAAAAGUGCGUAAUAGCUUACUGGUCGAGCACUCCUGCGCCGAAAAUGAUCGGGACUCAAGCAUGAUGCCGAAGCCGCGGGUGUCGUGGAGCAGUGCCUUCACGGCGCGGUAGGGGAGCGUUCCACGAUAGGUUGAAGGUGGACCGUGAGGACCACUGGACGAUGUGGAAGUGAUCAUCCGGACAUGAGUAGCGAUAAACAGGGUGAGAAGCCCUGUCGCCGAAAGCCUAAGGUUUCCUGGGCAAGGCAAUUCCGCUCAGGGUUAGUCGGGCCCUAAGACGAGGCCGAAAGGCGUAGUCGAUGGAUAACCGGUCAACAUUCCGGUACCACCCACAGGGCGUUGAUGAUGGCGGGACGCGGGUAUGAAGGUCUACCGGCGACUGGAAGUGCCGGGCCAAGCCCGAGGGAGGCUGAUAGGAAAAUCCGUCAGCGGAAUCCCGGAGGUGAAUGCGAGCCUCGCUGGAGGCGAAGUGACCGGAGUGCCCGCCGAGAAAAGCGUCGGUUCGGAGUCCCGUGGGUGUCCGUACUAAAACCGACACAGGUAGGCGAGGCGAGUAGCCUCAGGCGCUCGAGAGACCCCUGGAGAAGGAACUCGGCAAAAUGGUUCCGUAACUUCGGGAGAAGGAUCGCCUCCUCGGGUAAUGGUCCAUCGCGUCCAGAGCCUGGGGAGGCCGCAGAGAAUCGACCCCUGCGACUGUUUAGCAAAAACACAGGUCUGUGCAAAGACCCAAAGUCGACGUAUACAGACUGACGCCUGCCCGAUGCCGGAAGGUUAAGGGGAGAGGUUAGCCCUUGCGGCGAAGCUUUGAACCGAAGCCCCGGUGAAUGGCGGCCGUAACUAUGACGGUCCUAAGGUAGCGAAAUUCCUUGUCGGGUAAGUUCCGACCCGCAUGAAUGGCGUAACGACAGGGGUGCUGUCUCCUCCAGGGACUCGGCGAAAUUGGCGUGGCGGUGAAGAGACCGCCUACCCGCAGCAGGACGGAAAGACCCCGUGAACCUUUACUGCAGCCUACUAUUGGGUUUUGGGCCAGCAUGUGUAGGAUAGGUGGGAGACUGUGAAGGGGGAGCGCCAGCUCUCCUGGAGUCGCCGGUGAAAUACCACCCUUGCUGGUCUAGAAUUCUAACCCCGUGCCGUGAAUCCGGGCGGGGGACAGUGGUAGGUGGGCAGUUUGGCUGGGGCGGUCUCCUCCCAAAGGGUAACGGAGGAGCGCAAAGGCACCUUCAGCACGGUUGGCAAUCGUGCGUAGAGCGCAAUGGUACAAGGGUGCUUGACUGCGAGACCGACAAGUCGAGCAGGUGUGAAAGCAGGCCAUAGUGAUCCGGCGGUCGCGUGUGGAAGCGCCGUCGCUCAACGGAUAAAAGGUACUCCGGGGAUAACAGGCUGAUCGCGCCCAAGAGUUCAUAUCGACGGCGCGGUUUGGCACCUCGAUGUCGGCUCAUCACAUCCUGGGGCUGAAGGAGGUCCCAAGGGUUUGGCUGUUCGCCAAUUAAAGUGGUACGUGAGCUGGGUUCAGACCGGCGUGAGCCAGGUCGGUCCCUAUCCGCUGUGGGCGCAGGACGACUGAGGGAGUUUGACCUUAGUACGAGAGGAUUGGGUUGGACGAACCUCUGGUGUGCGAGUUGGUCCGCCAGGGCCACUGCUCGGUAGCUAUGUUCGGAACGGAUAAACGCUGAAGGCAUCUAAGCGUGAAGCCCGUCCCAAGAUAAGUCGUCCCCAUCAGGCUCCUCGAAGACGACGAGGUAGAUAGGCGGGGUGUGCAAGCGUGGCAACACGUUGAGCUAACCCGUACUAAUGAGCCGAUCGGCUUGACCACACC
rnacentral:rRNA from 1 species